UACAGAGGUGGCAAGCGUUGUUCGGAAUUACUGGGCGUAAAGGGCGCGUAGGCGGCCUUCUAAGUCAGACGUGAAAUCCCCCGGCUUAACCUGGGAACUGCGUCUGAUACUGGAGGGCUUGAGUAUGGGAGAGGGAUGUAGAAUUCCAGGUGUAGCGGUGAAAUGCGUAGAGAUCCGGAGGAACACCGGUGGCGAAGGCGGCAUCCUGGACCGACACUGACGCUGAGGAGCGAAAGCCAGGGGAGCAAACGGG
rnacentral:rRNA from 1 species